rnacentral:rRNA from 1 species
UAAAAAGCUCGUAGUCUGAGGUGUGUCUCGGACGGUCGGUUCGCCGCUUGUCGGUGCUCAACUGGCCGGUCCGGACGUCCUGCCGGUGGGGCUGUAAAAGGCUCCGUUAUCCUUCUUUGGUCCUCUUCAUCGAGUGCCUUGGUGGGCCGGCACGUUUACUUUGAACAAAUUAGAGUGCUCAAAGCAGGCCGUUGGUCGCCUGAAUACUGUGUGCAUGGAAUAAUGGAAUAGGACCUCGGUUCCAUUUUGUUGGUUUUCAGAACUCGAGGUAAUGAUUAAUAGGUACGGACGGGGGCAUUCGUAUUGCGACGUUAGAGGUGAAAUUCUUGGAUCGUCGCAAGACGAACCGAUGCGAAAGCAUUUGCCAAGAACGUUUUCGUUGAUCAAGAACGAAAGUUAGAGGUUCGAAGGCGAUCAGAUACCGCCCUAGUUCUAACCAUAAACGAUGCCAGCUAGCCAUCCGCCGAAGUUCCUUAUAUGACUCGGCGGGCAGCUUCCGGGAAACCAAAGCUCUUGGGUUCCGGGG